CUUCUCCCCCACCCCCUGUUUAUUAAUUUCUUCCCAGAACUGCUCAACUGCAUUUAAUUGGGUACACAUUUUGCUAAACAAAAAAAUACAGCAAUUAAAUCUUGAUCCCCCCCCCUUCUUUAUUGCAGGCUUCUUCUAAUUAAAGAAAUGUUUUGAUUAUUUUCCCCACUAACCCCUCAAAAGGAAAAGAAAUCUUAAAAUAAGUGGUGACAUCUCAAAUACUCCGGAAUAAAUUCUUCUUUGCAAGUUUGGAGUUGAGACACGGUCAAAUUCUACCCUAUGUGUCAUGAAAAAAGUUCUCUCUCUCUCUCUCUCUCUCUCUCUCUCUCUCUCUCUCUCUCUCAUAGAAUGAAAAUCCAGAUUGAAUUUGUUACACAGCUUCCGAGAACACUCAGGCCCGGCUUCCAAGUGCAAUCCUCCUGGCCGGGAGUCAGCAGCCCACGCACAUGCGCGCAGGGCGUUGCGCCAGGGCCGGUUCUUGCUUUGCCUGACCCUCUGCAGCCUCUGCUUUUCUGGAACUUGUGGUGCAGUGUCGCCUUCUCCGCGGGCACCUUCCGUGGGUUGCCCCAAGUGCACAGCCUCUGGCCGAAAUGCCAUCAUCUUAAAGGUGUUCCAGCUGAGCCAAUGUCUCCCAAACGCUUGCUCGCAACUGAGAAAAUGCCAAGCCAACUUUCUGCCUUCUCCUGUCCUACAUCCAGGCCUAUGAGAUUCCCUGGAGGAAAAAGACAGAAGCAAAUCCAUGUUUCUGCAAUUCUAUCUUCUCCUACCUGAGCCAGGUAAUCCUUCUGUUUGAUUGUGAUUAAUUCCUUCUCCCGUUUCUUGUAAGGUUCCUGCAAGCACUACCCUCCACUCUUAUACUUUCCAUAAUGCCUUCCCCGCCAAUCUCAGGAGAUGACUUCACUUCCAGUCUCAUAUAGGGAAAUAAUUAAUGACAACAUCUAUUUCCUGUACCCCGAGAGAACACAUUUAUCUGCAUCCAUAUAAAUCCUUUUCUCUUUCCCUUCUUCCUUGCCACUUCACUAGCAACUCCUUCAGCUUCCCGAGGACCUUGCUCCAUCAUCUGUAUUCCAACUGUCACUUCUCUCUCCCUCCAUUACUCCCCCUUGCUCCCCUUUACUCCUCCCCCAAUUUCUCUCUCUUUCCCUGCACAGCCACCAGCCUUGAAAAUAGUCUCUGUUUACUGCCUGCACUGUGUUACUUUCCAUUUACUAUUCAACUCACUGCCCUUGGGUUUCUUGCACACCCCAUGUCUCCACUGAAAAAUGUUCUAACAAAAUAACCAGUAGUGUUUGAAUUGCUAAACCCAUUCAUAAACUUUUGGCCCCUAUUUUGCAUAACUUUUCUGAGUCACUGCUGGCUAUCAUCUGUGCACUCCCUUAAAUCUCCUCUCCUGCUAACGCGCCCUACUCUGUAUGCUGGGAAGCUGAACUCUACCAGUUGUUUCAAUGGGUUCCCUUGUACUUUGGCUGCUAGUUGGGUUUGGCCAGUGGAAAGCCCCAGAAAAUGAUAGAAGAGUCACAGCUGGGUGUAUAUAUCCCACUUCUUUCUAAGGGACAGGCCUGCAGUGGGCUGCUGCCCUUGACAGAAGUCAGAUACCUCUUCUUAGGGUAUCUUCUCCAAAUAGCAGUGCUCUCUUGUUCAUUCUCUCUCUCUCUCUCUCUCUCUCUCUCCUCUCUCUCUCUCCCUCCCUCCUGCCCUCUCUAUUUUUCUCAGAGUCCCAGGAUCCACUCUCUCUGCUCAGCUAUCUAGACCUUAGAGGUACUGACCCUACUCUCUGCUCUUACCUGCCAGUGAGUAUUCCAUUAGUACUUUGGGUUCUCUAUACUUGCCCAUACCUUUGUAAAUAGUCUCUUUAUUAAACUUUCCUCAAAUUUCCCGAUUUCAGGGGUGUCAUCUCUUUCCCACCAGUACCAGGACCUGUAUAAAGUAAUUUAACACUACCAACAACUCAGGCCCUCCUGAGUCUCAUGAUGGUGUCUCUUGUUCUUCUGCUAACGUUUUAGCUCUGCCUAUCAAUCCCCUUUAGACAGUGGCUGAGUGUGAUGCUUAAGGAAUGGGCUCCAGAACCAGACCAGGAGGUCUGUGCCACCAACCAGCAGUGUGACCUCGGGAAAUUUCCCAAACCUCUCUGUCUCAGUCUUCUCCUCUAUAAGUGGUGGAUAAGAUGCUUCCCUACCUCAAAGUCUAAUGGAGAUGAAAUGGCUUAAAACAUGUGAAACACUUAGAAUAGUGCCUGGUGCACAUUAAACCAUAAAUGCUGGUGUUUGUGUCCUUAUUACUGAUCACUUUCUUCUCUCAUCUUCUCUUUGCCCCCUAGUUGUUGGGACUUCCCAACAUUCUUUUUUGGUAGACACCUUUCUGUUAGCUAUUUGAAAAUAUCACAGGGAUGAUCUAAAACAAUUAUGAUAAUAGUUAACAUGCAUUAUACUCUUCUUCUGUAUAUGGCACUGUACUAUGAGCCAUGGAAUUAACACAAAACCCUUUGUGUUAGGCAACUGAGUUACCUCUCUGAACCUCAUUUCCCCCCUUUGUAACAUGGGGAAAAUGAUAGUAUCUAUCUGAUAAAGGCUUUUUGUAUGAAUCUGAUGACUUAAUAAAUAAAUAAAUAAAUACCCUUCCCA
rnacentral:lncRNA from 1 species